rnacentral:misc_RNA from 1 species
AAAGCAGCAGUUCCCGUAUAUGGUUGAUCCAAACACUGGAGUUUCCAUGUAUGAAUCAGAUGAGAUUAUCAAGUACUUGGUAGGAAAAUAUGGUGAUGGCAAUGUCCCACUUAUGUUGUCCCUUGGUCUUUUCACUACUCUUACUGCAGGCUUUGCCAUGAUUGGUCGAAUGGGGAAGGGGUCUUCUUAUAAGCCAUCUAAAAUGCCUCCCAAGCCGCUUGAGUUAUGGGCAUACGAGCCUUCUCCAUUUUGCAAAGUUGUACGUGAGGUACUUGUAGAACUAGAACUACCCCACAUACUUCACAGUUGUGCUCGUGGUAGCCCCAAACGCCAAAUAUUAUAUGAGAGAGUUGGUCAUUUCCAGGUCCCAUACUUAGAAGAUCCAAAUACUGGAGUCCAGAUGUUU